rfam:Schistosoma curassoni strain Dakar, Senegal genome assembly, scaffold: SCTD_contig0000593
AUCGAACUGACGAGUUUUAAAUAGGACGAAACGCGUGUCCUAGAU